GGCUGCGUGGCUCAAUGGUAGAGCGUAGUCCUCCUAAGACUAAGGCUGCAGGUUCGAGUCCUGCCGUGGUCG